CUCAUUCCCUGCGCCGCCGAGAAAAGUGAGAUCCCGCGAGACUCCCAGGAAUGGCACCAUUGUUGUGCGGAUGCUGAUGCCCAGCGUUGAGCCUGUCGUCUCCUAUAUUAGGGGAAGUUCUCCUGGCCCUUCCCAACUACCUCCCCUGUGCAAGUUUAUUACAACUGAACGGCCUCAAGGAUGAAGUCUGGCUCUGUUGCCCAAGCUGGAGUGUGUUGGCACCAUCUUGGUUCACUGCAACUUCCACCUCCCAGGCUCCAGUGAUUCUCCUGCCUCAGCCUCAAGGGUAGCUGAGAUUACAGGCUGGAGUGCAGUGGCAUGAUCUCACCUCACUGAGAACCUCCACCUCCAGGGUUCAAGUGAUUCUGCUACCUCAACCUCCCAAAUAGCUGGGACUACAGGCACUUUCCCUACAUUUUCAAAGGCCUGCAUCAUCACAUCUGCCACAGCAUUCUCUAUCAUUGAGGCAUUUUCUCAGGAAAUCACCUGUGAAAUAUUUUGCAGCUAACCACCUACCUGUGCCCCACCAGCCAACAUGCUUUACUCCUGCCAGGCAGGUUCUCUGUAGCCCUCUGGAUUCUGUCUGCCUCUGUUAUAUCUUCACGAACAAGUUAUGCAGCCUCAACUAAAGCUUGUAACAAAGCAAAGUUACUCUCCUGAGUGUGUCCUCUGAUGGAUGGUGAGAUAUAACUUCAAGAUGAAGCCUCACCCACACUCCCUGUACAAAAACGCUUCUCACGUAAGUGUCUCUUUAAGUGCUUACUGUAGUAUGACUUAUUGCUAAACUUUCGUCCACACUCUUGGCAUUCAUAAGGCCUCUCUCCUGUGUGUAUUCUUUCAUGCACAGUGAGGUCUGACUUACUGGUAUAGCCUCGCUUACACUCCUGGCAAACAAAAGGCUUCUCCUUUGAGUGUAUCCGCCAGUGGUGUCUGGUGAGACUUCUCUUCCAGCUGAAGCCUUGCCCACACACAUUACACACGAAGGGCUUCUCCCCUGAGUGUGUCCUCUGGUGUGUGAGGAGAUUUCCCUUCCAGUUGAAGCCUCGCCCACACUCCUUGCAUACAAAAGGCUGCUUGCCAGAAUGUGCAAGCUGGUGUUUCACAAGAUUUGACUUCCAGAUAAAUCCUUGCCCACAUUCACUACAGAUGAAAGGCUUCUCCCCUGAGUGUGUCUUCUGGUGGAAGAGGAGAGUUGAUUUUAGGAUGAAGCCUCGCCCGCAAUCCUUGCAAUUAAAUGGCCUUUCCCCCGAGUGUGUCCACUGAUGUCUAAGAAGAUUUGCCUUCAAACUAAAACUUUUCUCACACUGCUUGCACAUGAAGGGCUUCUCUCCUGAGUGUGUCCUCUGAUGUAUGGUGAGAUUUGGCUUCAAGGUAAAGCCUCGCCCACAAUCCCUGCAGAAAAAACGUUUCUCACCCAAGUGUGCCCUCAGGUGCUUGUUAUAGGAGGACUUAUCCCGAAACCUUCGCCCACACUCCCGACAUCCAUAAGGCUUCUCCUCUGAGUGUGUCCUCUGGUGUAAAGUGAAGGUUGACUUUUGGAUAAAGCCUCGUCCACAGUCCUUGCACACAAAAGGCUUCUCCUCUGAGUGUGUGAUCUGAUGUUUCACAAGGGUUGACUUCUGAAUAAAUCCUUGCCCACAUUCUCUACAAACAAAAGGUUUCUCCCCUGAGUGUGUUCUCUGGUGGUAGACAAGAGUUGACUUUUGGCUAAAGCUUCGCUCACAAUCCUUGCACACAAAAGGCUUCUCCCCUGAGUGUGUUCUCUGGUGUCUGAGGAGACUUCCUUUCACGCUAAAACUUUGCUUACACUGCCUGCACGCAAAGGGCUUCUCCCCUGAGUGUGUCCUCUGGUGUGUGAUAAGGUGUGACUUAUUGCUAAAGCCUCGGCCACACUCCUGGCAUCUGUAAGGCUUCUCUCCUGAGUGUAUUCUCUUGUGCACAACGAAGUAUGACUUAUUAGUAUAGCCUCGCCCACACUCCUUGCACACAAAAGGCUUCUCCCCUGAAUGCGCCUUCAAGUGCUUGUUGUAUGAGGACUUAUCGUUAAACCUUCGCCCACACUCCUGGCAUUCAUAAGGCUUCUCUCCUGUGUGUGUUCUCUCAUGCACAGUGAGGUAUGACUUACUGGUAUAGCCUCGUCCACACACCUUGCACAGAAAAGGCUUCUCUCCUGAGUGUGUCCUCUGGUGUCUGAGGAGGUUGGCCUUGAGGCUGAAGCCUCGCCCACACACACUGCACACAUAGGACUUCUCUCCUGUGUGUGUGUUCUGGUGCAAGAGCAAUGCUGACUCAUCUCUAAAGCCCUGGUGACACUCCCUGCAUGUAAAAAGUUUCUGCCUGGAAUGUGCUUUUUUGUGUAUGAUUACCAUCAUCUUCCGGCUGAAGUCUUGCCCACGCUCUGCACACUUGAAUGCUCCCCAUCUUGAAUUUUCUAUUCCUUUCAAUACUUUGUCUAUUUCUGUAGGAUUUUCCCUCUGGCCUUGACUAGACUCUAUUUCCACUACACUGUUCCUCCUCCUUGAGCUUACUGCAUGUCUUAGGGGUGGGCUGGAAAAUGCCAUGGGCUUAGUGCUUUUUUCUUUCUCUUGACCUUCAGCUGUGUCACUCUGGAAGCUUUGAUCAGAAAAUUGUAGUUGCUGUUGCCUCUGAUGUGCAAGUCCAAGAUUCUUGGGCCGCAGGACAUGUUCUGCAUAUAUUCCUGGAGAAUAGACCAACAAUGAGACUGAAUCAGUAACGAAAAGUCUUCUAUGAAAGAAAAACCCAGAACCAUAUUGCUUUACUGCUUAAUUCUAAUAAACUCAUAAAGAACAACAAACACCAAUUCUUCUCAAACUAUUCCAAAAAAUUGAAGCAGGGCAGGGAGGAAUUCUUCCUAACUCAUUCUAAAAGGCCAGCAUUAUCCUGAUACCAAAACCAGACAAGGACACAGCAAAAACAGAGAACUACAGGCCAAUAUCCCUGAUGAUGCUAAAUGGAAAAAUCCUCAACAAAAUACUAGCAAAACCAAUGCAACAACACAGAAAAGAUAAUACACCAUGAUCAAAUGAGAUUUAUCCCAAGUAUGCAAUCAUGAUUCAACAUACACAAAUCAAUACUUGUGAUACAUCACAUCAACAGAGUGAAGGACCAAAAGACAUAUGAUCAUCUCAACAGAUACAGAAAAAGAUUUGAUAUGAUUCAAAAUCCCAUUAUGAUAAAAACUUUUUUUUUUUGAGACAGGGUCUCACUCUGUCACCCAGGCUGGAGUGCAGUGGCAUGAUCAUGGCUCACUGCAGCCUCGACCUCCCAGGCUUACACGAUCCUCCCACCUCAACUUUCCAAAUAGCUAGACUACAGGUGCCUGCCUGUAGUCAAGCCAUAGGUGCCAUUGCCUGGCUAAUUUUUAUAUUUUUUGUAGAGAUGGGAUUUCGCCAUGUUGUCCAGGCUGGUCUCAAAUUCUUGAGCUCAAGCAAUCUGCCCAUCUUGCCCUCCCAAAGUGAUGAGAUUAAAGGCAUAAGCCACCGCACCCAGCCUAUGAUAAAAACUUAAAUCAGGUGUACAGGAAACAUAUCUCAACAUAAUAUAGACAAUAUGUUCCAAACCCACAGCAAACAUCUUAGUGAAUGGGGAAAAGAUAAAAGUCUUUCCUCUAAGAACUGGAAGAAGAUUCGAAUGUCUACUUUCACCACUCUUAUUACCAUAGUUCAGGGAGUCCUAGUCAGAACUAUGGUAAGAGAAAAAAAUAAGGCAAGAAAAGGAAAUAAAAGGCAUCCAAGCUGGAAAACUGAAGUCAAAUUGUCUCUUUUUGCAGAUGACAUGAUCGUACCUAUAGAAAACCUAAACACUCUUCGAACUGAUGAAUGAUGUCAAUAAAGUUGCACAAUAUGAAAUCAGAAAAAAAAAUCAGUAGUGUUUCUAUAUGCCAAUAAUAACUAGGUGAAAAAGAAAUCAAGAAAGCAAUCCCAUUUAUAAUUGGUACAAAAAAGUAUAUGAAUAAACAACCCCAAAUUAAAUGUUCUCUAUGAUAAAAACAAUGAAAUAAAUAGACGAGGACACAAACAAAUGAAAAGACAUCUUAUGUUCAUGGAGCAAAAUAAUACUGUUGAGAUGACCAUACUGCCCAAAGCAAUCUACAGAUUCACUGCAAUACCUAUUAAAAUACCAGUGAUAUUCUUUAUAAAAAUAGACAAAAUACUCCUAGAAUUCAUAAGGAACCAAAAAGACCUCCAAUAGGCAAUAGUGAGCAUAAAGUACAAAGUGGGAGGCAUCAUACUACCUCACUUCAAAAUAUAAUACAAAGCUAGUGUCAUCAAAGCAGCAUGGUAUUGGUCUAAAAAUAGACACUGGCCAGGCACAGUGGCUCACACCUGUAAUCCCAGUGCUCUGAGAGACUGUGGCAGGCGGAUUGCUUGAGGCUAGGAGUUCGAGUCCAGCCUGGGCAACACGAUGAGACCCCAUCAUUACAAAAGGUUAAAAAAAAAAUUAGCUGGGCAUGGUGGCACAUGCCUAUAGUCCUAGCUACUUGAGACACGAGGAUCACUUAAGCCCAGGAGUUAGAGGCUGCAGUGAGCUGUGAUGGCACCACUGCACUCCUGCCUGGGUGGACAGAGCAAGACCCUGUCCAUAGAAACAAAAACAAAAAUGAAAUACACAUAGACCAAUAAAAGAGAAUAGAUAAUCUACAAAUAAAUCCAUAUAUUUAUAGCCAACUGAUUUUUGACAAAGGCACUAAAAACAUACCUUAGGGUAAGGACAGAAUCUUCAAUAAAUGGUAUUAGAAAAAGUGAAUUCCAAAAUGAGUAAGAAUGAAGUUAGAUGUUUGUUUCUCAUACUAUACAAAAAUAAACUCAAAAUAGAUUAAAGACUUAAACAUGAGUUCCACAAUUAUAAAACAACUUGAAGAAACACAGGAGAAAUGCUUUAGGACACUGGCCUAAACUAGCCAUAUUUUAUGGCUAAGACUUCAAAAUCACAAGCAACAAAAGCAAAAAUACACACAUGAGACUACAUUAAACUAAAAACUAAAAAGCUUCUGUACAGCAAAGGAAAGUAUCAACAGUGAAGAUACAAAAUGUAGAAUGGGAGGAAAUAUCUGCAAAGUAUUCAUCUUACAAGGGACUAAUAUACAGAAUAUACAAGAAGUCAAAAAACAACAACAAAAAAUCCAACUAAAAAGUGGGAAAAGGAUCUGAAUAGACAUUUCUCAAAAUAAGACAUACAAAUGGGCAACAGGUAUACGAAAAAAUGCUCAUCAUCACCAAUCAUCAGGGAAAUGCAAAUCACACUGAGAGAUCCUCUUACCACAAUUAGGAUGGCUAUUAUCAAAAAGAGAAAAAAUAACAAAUAAUGGCAAAGAUGCAGAAAAAAGGCAAUAAUUAUACACUCUUGGUGUAUAAUUAGUACAGCCAUUAUGGAAAAUGGUAUGGAGGUUCCUUAAAAAACUACAAAUAGAACUACGAUACAAUCCAGCAAUCCCACUACUUCAUAUUUAUCCAAAGAAAAGGAAAUCAGUAUGGCAAAAGGAUACCUGUACCCCCAUGUUAACAUUAUUCACAAUAGUCUAGAUAUGGAAUUAACCUAAAUGUCCAUCAAUGGUUGAAUGGAUAAAGAAAAUGUAGUACAUAUAUAUAAUGGAAUGUUAGUCAACCAUAAAGAAGAAUAAGAAUACUGCUGUCAUUUACAGCAGUAUCAUUAGAAUCAUUAUCAUUAACUAAUGAUAUAAUCAGUAUCAUUAGUUCAUUAUGUUAGGUGAAAUAAGCCAGGCACAGAAAGCCAAAUAUUGCAUAUUGUCACUCAUAUGUGGGAGCAGAGGCUAGGAAAGGGAGAGGGAAGGGAGAACGAAGAGCAGUUGAUUAUGGGUACAAAAAUAUAGUUAGAAGAAAUAAGUGUUUGAUAGCACAGUAGCGUGACUAUAGUUUAACUGUAAUUUAUAUUUCAAAAUAGAAAAAAAUGGAGUAUACAGAGAAAUGAUAAAUAUUUGAGGUUAUGGAUCCUGAUUUGAUCAUUACAUAUGGUAUGCAUAUAUCAAAAUACCACAUCUACUCCAUAAAUAAUGUACAAUUAUUAUGUAUCAACAAAUAAGAAAAUAAUCCCCCCAAAACUAAUACAAAAUAGUAGGCAUCUACAAAGGGGAGAUAUUUAUAUAUAAAUGGAGAAUAAUAAAGAAUUAUCUUUUUUAAUACAUUAAAAUGAAUAUUCAUAUUAAGAAAGGAAAAACUAAAGUGAAAAGAGAAAUAGCAAACUGAUAGAAAGUACUGCUGGUACUAUGACAGUCAAUGUGCUUAUUAUUCAGGAAAAAUACUCCAAAACUUGUCAGAUAUAUGAUUAUAUGACCUUUCCUACAUCAUCUGUAUAAUUUUUAAUUUUUCUGAUCACUCGGAUAAUGACAGUUAAGUUUGCUGAUUCUGUAAAGUUACAGGGUAACUUACAAUGGUGUUAUUUUGGCACUAUCCACAUACAUCCCACCUUCUCAUACCUGCACUGAACCAGCUUUGUCAUCCUGCCAGUAACCUCACUUAUGAGUUAAAUAAAAUCCUAACAUAUGCUCCCAUUACAUUAAACAUUCACACUUUCAGAAGUCAGUGGUAGACAAGAAGCCUUUUAUUUUAAUUCACUGACAGACAAAUCAGCAAGCAAUUGAUAUGGGGGCGAGAGAAGGGAGUUGAUAAUGGGCUGAACAUUAGCAUCCCCCCCAAAUUCAUAUGUUGAUGCCUUAACCCCCAAUGUGAUGGUAUUUGGAGGUGGAGUUGUUGGGAGAUAAACAGGUUUAGUUGAGAUCGUGGGGUGAGCCCAUGAGAGGACACAGUAAGGAGGCGGCAGCCUGUGAGCCAGGAUGGGGACCCUCACAAUGAAGCAAAGGUGCCAGCACCUUCAUCUUGGAAUUCCCAGAUUCUAGAACUGUACGAAAUAAAUGUCUGUUGUUUAAGCCUCCCAGUCUAUGAUAUUUCGUCAUUUCUACGAUACUCAAGAUGACAGAGGAGUCCCUUCCCACCUAUGUAAACUGAGGGAGUGGCCCCGAUCCAAAAGCAGAGACCUUAUGCACGUGAAAACUCAGGCCAGCUCCAAAUUUCUCAGUGGAUGCCCCCACAUUUUUUAUGGGGUGGUGGGAAGCAAGGAAUGGGAAAGAACUCCACAGUCUGUAUGAACCUGCUUUUUUUGCAGACAAUAGGACAAAGUCAACAACAAUAACCAUAAAAAAAAAUCAACCUGCUAAUUUUCUGAUAGAGAGUAUACUGUGUAAUUCCACUUACAUGAAGUUCUAAGAUGGGUGAAAUUAAGGCAUAUUGAACAAAAUCCGAAUAGUGAUUUUCUCUGGUGGACGUGGGGGCAGGAAAUGACUGGAAAAAGGCACAAAAGCACUUCUGGGGUGAGAGUAAUUCUUUUGUGUUGUCA
rnacentral:lncRNA from 1 species